AAUAUGAUUGGAAUAAAGAAGGUAAUUGAAUUUGAUCAUUUAGACUUGUUUAUAUAUUAUUUUUUUUCUCUUACUAUUGGAGUUGUAAUGUUAACAAUUGGCAUUCUUUCAUAAAUAACUUUGGUGCAAUGAAUGUUAGAAAAUCACAGAGGUUUGAAUGUGUGGACAUUGUUGAACAAAUCAUAGAGCCAAACGUGUGGAAAUAACUGCAUUGGUAGUCAUAUUGUGUCAAAAUAUAAAUUGAUAAGGAUGUUUGACAACAUGAUAAUCUGCAAUGUAGAGCUCUGUUUUUUAUUUAUUUUCUGCAAUGAAUUCCUCUAUCACAUAAGGGGUUAGGUUGAAUUCUAGCGUUGUAGAGUAGUUUGGUUGAAUUGAGUUGUUGGCUUCAUCCAAUGGUACAACUGUAGGAUAUCAAGUUUGCAGCAAGCAUGACCUUGUCUGCUCACAAUUACCCUUAGUAAACUUUUGAUGAUACUAUAUUCUGAACUGUGGUUUAUAUGCCGAGCAUGGUUUCAAAUCGCAGUUGCGGGUAAAGGAAACAUGCCUGUAACGGGCAUAACAUAACGGUAAUGGCCUGGUGCUAGUGCUACGCAAAUUUUUUUAAAAAAUUUAUGUAUUUCAUAAAAUGAGUAGA
rnacentral:misc_RNA from 1 species